rnacentral:rRNA from 1 species
ACAAACGCUGGCGGCGGUGCCUAAUACAUGCAAGUCGAGCGGACCAAUUAGAAAGCUUGCUUUUUGAUUGGGUUAGCGGCGGGACGGGUGAGUAACACGUGGGUAACCUGCCCUAUAGACCGGGAUAACUCGCGGAAACGCGUGCUAAUACCGGAUAACACAUCGAAGCGCAUGCUUCGGGGUUGAAAGAUGGUUCUGCUAUCACUAUAGGAUGGGCCCGCGGCGCAUUAGCUAGUUGGUGGGGUAACGGCCUACCAAGGCGACGAUGCGUAGCCGACCUGAGAGGGUGAUCGGCCACACUGGGACUGAGACACGGCCCAGACUCCUACGGGAGGCAGCAGUAGGGAAUCUUCCACAAUGGGCGAAAGCCUGAUGGAGCAACGCCGCGUGAGCGAAGAAGGUCUUCGGAUCGUAAAGCUCUGUUGUAAGGGAAGAACAAGCGCAGCAGUCACUGGCUGCGCCCUGACGGUACCUUACUAGAAAGCCACGGCUAACUACGUGCCAGCAGCCCGCG